UUCCAGGUGGCUCAGCGGUAACAGUAUCUGCCUGCAAUGCAGGAGAUCUGGGUUCGAUCCCUGGGUUGGGAA
rnacentral:tRNA from 1 species